GACAGAGGAGGCAAGCGUUAUCCGGAAUUAUUGGGCGAAAAGCGUCCGUAGGUGGUUUGACAAGUCUGGGGUUAAAGCCUGGAGCCCAACUCCGGAUCGGCCCUGGAAACUGUCAGACUUGAGUAAGGUAGGGGUUGCGGGAAUUCCCGGUGUAGCGGUGAAAUGCGUAGAUAUCGGGAAGAACACCAGCGGCGAAAGCGCGCAACUGGGCCAUUACUGACACUGAGGGACGAAAGCUAGGGGAUCGAAUGGG
rnacentral:rRNA from 1 species